rnacentral:misc_RNA from 1 species
GGAGCCCUUUGCUACAAAGUGUGCACACAGAAAUUGGUUGAAUGCUCUACACGCUAGCAGUCCCCUUAUUUCAUCCGCUACAGACAGUGGACGGAGCAUAUUCACGAUUGUCAGACGAAUAUGAUCACCCAAAAAGACCUGAUGAUUGGCUGAAUUCGAUGAAGAGAAGAAAGAAGAUCAAGACACGAGCAGAAAAAGAUAGAGAUUCAACAUGGGUUUCUCUAAAGACAAUCUAAAAGGCAUCAUCUUGGCUUUGUCUUCAAGUGCGUUUAUAGGGGCAAGCUUCAUUAUCAAGAAAAAAGGCCUUAGAAGAGCUGCUAUAGCUUCCGGUGUUAGAGCUGGUGUUGGUGGAUUCUCUUAUCUCUUGGAGCCUCUCUGGUGGUUGGGCAUGUUGACGAUGAUUGUUGGGGAGGUUGCAAAUUUUGUUGCUUAUGCAUUUGCGCCAGCAGUUCUUGUCACCCCACUUGGUGCAUUAAGUAUUAUUAUUAGUGCUGUGUUAGCGCACUUUAUCUUGAAUGAGAAGUUACAGAAACUAGGGAUCCUGGGUUGUGUGAUGUGCAUUGCUGGUUCUAUUAUAAUUGUGAUUCAUGCACCACAGGAGCACCCUAUAACUUCUGUUCAGGAAAUAUGGACUAUGGCAACUCAAUCAGCUUUUUUGCUUUACGUGGCCUCAGUGAUUGUGCUUGUUUUUAUUCUGGCCUUCCAUUUUUCGCCACAGUGUGGGCACUCAAAUGUCCUAGUUUUCACCGGCAUUUGCUCGUUGAUGGGCUCUCUUUCGGUGAUGAGUGUUAAAGCCGUUGGAACUGCACUAAAAUUAACAUUUGAAGGAAACAACCAAUUACUCUAUCCGGAGACAUGGUUUUUUAUGUUUGUCGUUGCUACAAGUGUCAUCACUCAAAUGAAUUAUCUCAACAAGGCACUUGAUACGUUCAACACUGCAGUUGUUUCGCCCAUUUAUUAUGUCAUGUUCACAUCACUUACAAUUCUUGCCAGUGUCAUCAUGUUCAAGGAUUGGGAUGAUCAAAGCAUGGGAAGCAUUGUUUCUGAAAUAUGUGGCUUCGUUGUUGUGCUUUCUGGCACUGUCCUAUUACAAACAACCAGAGAAUUUGAAAGAAGUUCAUCUUUUAGAGGUGGCUAUGCACCUUUAUCCCCCACCUUACCCACCGGACUCUGCAGUGGGAAUGGGGAAUUUCUGAGGCAUGAAGAGGGAGACGUGCCAUCUAUAGAUGAGUUUUGCUUACAAAAACAAUAAAUGACCGUCUUGGAAGGGACCCUUCUGCUUCAACUAUUCCAAGUUUUUCCAAUGACGUCCCCAUCAGAUGAUAUUGUUACAGCACCUAUUCUGGAUCCAUUAAAAAAAAAAAAAACCAAGAAUAGGAAAGUACAUGGGGCUGGUUGUUUUAGUGGCUCUCCUUUGCAGGCAUCAUUGAAAAUUUGCUUUUAGAACUUUUGUGCAGAGCGCUACUUUUUGAGGUACAUGUUUGUUUGGUGUUUGUCAAGAUUGUUGGGGGGAGGAAUUGUGUGAUCAAACUUCCUGAAAUGUCAGACAGCAGAUCCAGAAACCUGAAUCUUAUUGAAGCUGUGAAAUUCAUGUGUUGACAGUGAAGGCGCAGACUCUGCAUGUAGGGUAGUUUUUGUUAUCAAUUGUUUAUAGGUGUGUAGAUUGAUUAUUUAUUGUUUAUAAGCUAAGGUAUGAAUAGUGGAAAUAUGUAUUCUUUGAUCAGGUUAGCAUUCUAAAUUUGACAGCAUUAAUUGUUGAAGAGUUUACAAAUUUUUUUUUUUUUUGCCAUACUUAUCAUCUGCUUUAUCUAUUUUGGUAAUUAAGAAAAUA